AUUGAACGCUGGCGGCAUGCUUUACACAUGCAAGUCGAACGGCAGCGCGGGCUUCGGCCUGGCGGCGAGUGGCGAACGGGUGAGUAAUACAUCGGAACGUGCCCAGUAGUGGGGGAUAGCUCGGCGAAAGCCGGAUUAAUACCGCAUACGACCUGAGGGUGAAAGCGGGGGAUCUUCGGACCUCGCGCUAUUGGAGCGGCCGAUGGCAGAUUAGCUAGUUGGUGGGGUAAAGGCCUACCAAGGCGACGAUCUGUAGCUGGUCUGAGAGGACGACCAGCCACACUGGAACUGAGACACGGCCCAGACUCUUACGGGAGGCAGCAGUGGGGAAUUUUGGACAAUGGGCGAAAGCCUGAUCCAGCAAUGCCGCGUGUGUGAUGAAGGCCUUCGGGUUGUAAAGCACUUUUGGCGGGAACGAAAAGGAGUGUGCUAAUACCACGGUUCGAUGACGGUACCCGCAGAAUAAGCACCGGCUAACUACGUG
rnacentral:rRNA from 1 species